GACGAACGCUGGCGGCGUGCUUAACACAUGCAAGUCGAACGGAAAGGCCCCUUUGGGGGUACUCGAGUGGCGCACGGGUGAGCAACACGUGAGUAACCUGCCCUUGACUUCGGGAUAACUUCAGGAAACUGGGGCUAAUACCGGAUAGGAAUCCUUGCUGCAUGGUGGGGGUUGGAAAGCUUCGGCGGUUUUGGAUGGACUCGCGGCUUAUCAGCUUGUUGGUGGGGUAGUGGCUUACCAAGGCUUUGACGGGUAGCCGGCCUGAGAGGGCGACCGGCCACAUUGGGACUGAGAUACGGCCCAGACUCCUACGGGAGGCAGCAGUGGGGAAUAUUGCACAAUGGGCGGAAGCCUGAUGCAGCAACGCCGCGUGCGGGAUGACGGCCUUCGGGUUGUAAACCGCUUUCAGCAGGGGCGAAGCUUGUGGUGACGGUACCUGCAGAAGAAGCACCGGCUAACUACGUG
rnacentral:rRNA from 1 species